AAAAAUUUAGUUAAACCUAAUAACAUUAGCUUGUCAAGCUAAAAUUACUCUUCAAAGUAAUUUUUA
rnacentral:tRNA from 1 species